rnacentral:misc_RNA from 1 species
GGAGUGAAUGCGGUGGUGGUGGAUAGCUCACAGGGGAACUCGAUCUAUCAGAUUGAUAUGAUCAAGUAUAUUAAGAAGACGUACCCGACAUUGGAUGUGAUUGGCGGGAAUGUCGUGACGAUUGCACAGGUGCAGAAUUUGAUCAAGGCGGGGGUUGAUGGAGUGAGAGUUGGGAUGGGUUCGGGGUCCAUUUGUACGACGCAGGAGGUCUGCGCUGUUGGUAGAGGGCAGGCGACGGCAGUGUUUAAGGUUGCGUCCUUUGCUAAGGAUCAUGAUGUGCCUGUUAUUGCUGA